UACGUAGGGGGCGAGCGUUGUCCGGAGUUACUGGGCGUAAAGCGCACGCAGGCGGUCUGCUAAGUUUGGAGUGACAGUUGGUGGCUUAACUGCCAAAGUGCUUCGAAAACUGAACAGACUUGAGGGCUUCAGAGGGACACGGAAUUCCGGGGUGGAGUGGUGAAAUGACGUAGAGAUCCGGAAGGAACACCAAAGGCGAAGGCAGUGGUCCUGGGGAGUACCUGACGCUCGAGGUGCGAAAGCCAGGGGAGCGAACGGGA
rnacentral:rRNA from 1 species